UACGGGGGGGGGCAAGCGUUGUUCGGAAUUACUGGGCGUAAAGGGCUCGUAGGUGGCCAACUAAGUCAGGCGUGAAAGCCCCGGGCUCAACCUGGGAACUGCGCUUGAGACUGCGGGACUGGAGUUCGGGAGAGGAGAGCGGAAUUCCCAGUGUAGAGGUGAAAUUCGUAGAUAUUGGGAAGAACACCGGUGGCGAAGGCGGCUCUCUGGACCGACACUGACGCUGAGGCGCGAAAGCGUGGGGAGCAAACAGG
rnacentral:rRNA from 1 species